rnacentral:rRNA from 2 species
UGUGUUGAGCUAACCCAUACUAAUUACCCGUGAGGCUUAACCAUACAACACCCAAGAAGUGUUCUG